AUGCUUUUGUAGCUUUUUCUCUCUAAAAUCAACACUAAUAUUAAACAGAGGAAAUAUUAAUGAGUUGAGAUAUCGUUUCGGACGCUUUUAUUUCAUUUUUUGGCUCCAUGGGCGAUUCGAUUGUUGCUCGACCACAU
rfam:Ananas comosus cultivar MD2 ACMD2_Scaffold_6187, whole genome shotgun sequence.